UGGAAAUUGAAAGUGAGAACCUUUUCUUGGCACUUGAUCAAAACCAAGAAGAACUCCCAAAUGCUCAAGAUGAGAAAAUAUUGCUCAUGUUUGAGACAAUUCUUGAAAAUGAGGAGAAGCACAACUUUGCACUUAAUGCUCAAGAUGAGAAAAUAAUGCUCAUGUUGGAGACUAUUCUUGAAAAUGAGGAGAAGCACAACUUUGCACUCGAGGACUUGAAACAAAGUUUGGCAUACAAUGAUGAACACAUCCGCACUUUGGAAGACCAAAUGCAAAAAUUGAUUGAGGCUCAUUAUGCCCAACAACUUGAGUGUGUGGAAGAAAGCCAAG
rnacentral:lncRNA from 1 species